GACGAACGCUGGCGGCGUGCCUAAUACAUGCAAGUCGAACGCAGUGGGGACGGGUGAGUAACACGUGGGUAACCUGCCAUAAAAGUGGAUAACACGUGGAAAAAGGUGCUAAACCGAUACUGAUGGAUGGACCCGCGGUGCAUUAGCUAGUUGGUGCGGUAACGGCUCACCAAGGCCACGAUGCAUAGCCGACUGGAGAGGAGGAUCGGCCACACUGGGACUGAGACACGGCCCAGACUCCUACGGGAGGCAGCAGUAGGGAAUCUUCGGCAAUGGAGGAAAGUCUGACCGAGCCACGCCGCGUGAGUGAAGAAGGUUUUCGGAUCGUAAAGCUCUGUUGUUAGAGAAGCGGUAUCUAACCAGAAAGCCACGGCUAACUACGUGCCAGCAGCCGCGGUAAUAC
rnacentral:rRNA from 1 species